AGUGAACGCUGGCGGUAGGCCUAACACAUGCAAGUCGAACGGCAGCACAGUAAGAGCUUGCUCUUACGGGUGGCGAGUGGCGGACGGGUGAGGAAUACAUCGGAAUCUACUUUUUCGUGGGGGAUAACGUAGGGAAACUUACGCUAAUACCGCAUACGACCUACGGGUGAAAGCAGGGGAUCUUCGGACCUUGCGCGAUUGAAUGAGCCGAUGUCGGAUUAGCUAGUUGGCGGGUUAAAGGCCCACCAAGGCGACGAUCCGUAGCUGGUCUGAGAGGAUGGUCGGCCACACUGGAGGUGGGACAGGGUCCAGGCUACUGAGGGAGGGAGCAGUGGGGAAUAUUGGACAAUGGGCGCAAGCCUGAUCCAGCCAGGCCGCGUGGGUGAAGAAGGCCUUCGGGUUGUAAAGCCCUUUUGUUGGGAAAGAAAAGCAGCAGGUUAAUACCCCGCGGUUCUGACGGUACCCAAAGAAUAAGCACCGGCUAACUUCGUG
rnacentral:rRNA from 1 species